UUGCUCGGGUCGGUCCGGCUCAGCCGGGUUGGGUGGUCGGGUUCGCAAACCGGGGGAACCUGCGGGGCUCUUUUCUAUUGCUUCGAACCGGACGCGGAGGGUGGAAGACUGAAGAGGGGAUAGGAGGGAGGAGGGUGAGGACUAGGCGGCAAGCGAGCAGAGGCGGUUGGCAUCAAAUUCUCCACCCAAUUCAUCAGAUUGGGAGCCAUUUUGUCUGAAAUCAGCGGGAGCAGAGAGGUACGCUCUAGGACGAGGCGUCAGAUCUAUAAUUCCUAACUGAUUUAAAGGCUAUGGCGUGUGAUUAUCUGCGCAGUUUGUUUCCGUCUUGCUCGCGUUGCAUCAGUUUACCGUUCGCCUGGUGAAUGCCAUUUCCAGCUGGGGCUGGGGGAAUUUAUCCAGUUGGGUCGGGUACUUGGGUGGUGCGUGUUCCAUGUUUCCAGUGGGGAAGAUUCGGCCUUGGUGUGUGUAUGUUAUUAUGUUGAGCUGCCAAAGAAGGCUUCUGUUGCCUUCUUUGUCAUUUCUUUCCUCAAGCAAAAUUGGUCAUUCCAGGUGGUGGGAUAUUGUUUAAGUUUGUUAUUGCACUACUGCUUCAGAUUAGUUUAAGGCUGAAUGACAGAGAUAAUGGUGGCAAGUGCAUGGUUCUUUCUAUGCAAGUUAUUCUUCUGGUUAUCUGGAGGUACUCUGACAGAGAUAAUGGCGGCAAGGAAGUGCAUGAGUUGUCUGAGACUAAUGCAUGGAUCCAAUAAAUUGUUAGUCCACGUUUACUGCAACCCAUUUUUAGCAAGACUUCGCACCAAGAUAUCGGUUUUUGUGAUCUGGAGCAGCAAUUUAUUGCAAUUUCAAAUUUGAAUAUAUAUACGUACCUACGGAUUCGUACUUUCUGCAAGCACAUGUAAUGGUACUGUCUGCUUUGUUGAACAUGACAGUUGCUCCAUAAUCAGAAUGCAUAUGUGUAACCGUAUAUGUCAGAAUUGACCCUUCGGCUCGCAACAACUUACAAGAGAAUGAAAAUUGUUUGUUAAAUUCUUCCUCAAACUCUUUAUACAUCCUCCUUGUAUAUGACUCAGAUGCGGUCUUCAACAGAGGAAUAUGAGUAACUGGGCUCUUUCGACGUGAAUUAAAAUCUUCAUCCAACUCAUUAUUACGAAGACUAUUGGAAACCUUCUCACAUUCUUCAAGAAGUUCCGAAAGACCCAGUUUUCUACGAAAUCUUUUCUUGAAUACAUUAUUCAUACCUUCGCUCCUUUGGGUCGAGUUCAUAUCAGCUGUAAAUGAGUCACGACACACAGCAGCCCAUUUUGCCCUCAAAUCAUAUAGGUUUGCCAUCCAUUUGUUGUCCUCAAGGUUAUAGUCAUGCAACAAUUCAUCCCACUUCUUUUUGAAGUAAAACUCCGAUCUGUCUUCAUAGACACAUCUCUUAAAAUCAGGUAGAAACUUGUCAGGAUGCUUUUGAAUUACAUGGCCGAGGUGUUUAGCAGCAUUAAGGUAAAUAUGCCACAAACAAAGGUGAUGACUUGUGUUUGGAAAUACAUAAGCAAUUGCUCCUGCCAUGGCCGCAUCUUGAUCAGUGAAGAUUGUGCUAGGAUGUUUGCCUGACAUUGCUGUUAGAAAGGUUUCAAAUAGCCAAACAAAUGAUGGUAUAGUCUCGUCAAACAACAAUGCAGCCCCAAAAAUGAUAGUCUGCUUGUGAUGGUUGGUUCCGAGGAAUGGAGCAAAAGGCAUUUCAAACUUAUUGGUUUGAAACGUUGUGUCAAAUGACACAGCAUCACCAAAGCAUGCGUAAUCCAUGAUAGAUUGGCCAUCUGCCCAAAAGAAAUUAGCUAUCCGACCAUCUUUCUUGUCUAUUUGCAUGGCAUAAAAAAAGUUGGAUCCUCUAUCUGCUUACGCUUCUAGUAGUGUUUCUGCGUCAUUGGAUUCUAAGUACUUCUUGCGCUCACGGCCAAUCUCAUUGUUGCAAUCCAUCCGUGAGAAUGGCACUUUGUCGGCUCCUCCAUAAAACUCCUUCAUAAACUCAAAAACCUGGGCUGACUUCAUCCCGGAUUGCCUCAUCUGCCCAAUUAGCUUCCUGUCCGCUUCUUGAACACUUCGUUGGGACCUCAGCUUGUCCCUUUUAUUUGGACUAGCAAGGUAAUGGUUGUGAUCAAGUAUAACCUUUUGCACUGUCCAAAUCCCCUCUUUACUGACACUAAACUAAACACGAGCAUCGCAAUCCGUCCUUGUAGUGUGCCUUGAUGACUCAGUUUCUCGAUGACCUUCGUUACUGCAAACCAAAUACUUUUGACGUAGGGUCCCAUCACCUCGUCGCUUUAUAUGGCUCUUUCUAAUACUAAACCCAAUCUUACCAGCAUAGGUGUUGUACAUCUCAUAAGCUUCAUCCUCUGAUUCGAAAGCCAUUCCAACUUUAGGAACGAUCAUAGGUUGCACAACUUCAUCAGCCAUCUAUUGUACAUUAAGUCAGAAUUAAUGUGACUUAUCUUUACGAUACGAAAUAAAUUAUGCUCUCAGUUAAAUAAAUUAUUUGUAAUUUAGUUACCUUAUCUUGUGCUUCAUCUGCUAUUUCUUCAGGUAUCAUGCAACAAACUCCGAUGUUAUUGUCGGAGUAGUUCUGUGCAAUCUAGCAUAUAUAUGGUCACAAAUCAGUGGAGCUAGAGGUCAUGUAACACGGUCAAACACACACGUGAAAACUCAUGAUGACCAAAGAAUGUGAAAAAAAUAUGUACCUGCGUUGGCUGCAUUCCGUUGUGUGCUAGGGCAGGCACAGACGACAUCAUAAGCGACCAGUCGAGAACGUUGUCCUUCUCCUAGCUUCCUACCGCCAUUGCAGCUGCGAUAUGUGAGGAGGCUUCUCCUGUCGUGGAAUGCAGACUGCUAUCCUCCUGGCCUCCUUCUCCCAUGACGGCUGCUAUGGCUGGGAUGCUCAUCGAAGAUUUUUAUGGCGGCUGUCCUCCUGUGCCACGAUCAGGAUCGCACAAGGACGUCUUCUCUUGAUCGAGGCUACGGCGUCGGAAAACGGUAGCAACGUCGGCAACACACAAGGGAUGUGGUGGCAGACAACGAACGGAUCCUCACGCGGAGGUUUUGACGAGAGGCGGCGCGGUUCUCAUCUAGCGGAGGUUUUAACGCGAGUGGACGACGGUUUCUGCUAGAUGCGCUGGUUUCUAUUUCCCAUCUGGUUUUGACGAUGAGCCGAGCGAGCGAGCUAGCGACGGAUCGAUCGAGCGAGCCGAGCGAGCCAGCGGCCCAGGCGUUCCCACGCGACAGAGCCAAGCGCGCGCUUCCGUUCGUGCGCUAGACACCCACGCGGCAGAAAUCAGGAGGGCGGCCGCACGGGUGCGUUUCUACGUUGGGAGCCGAGUUCCAGUGUUGACCUCUCCUGGGACUGGGAGCCGAGCCGCACGUUGGUUUUUUUUUGGGAGAUGAGCUGAGUCUUUCCCAGGCAGAGGUACGUACGCUUGAGCAGUCGUUGGAUGGAUCGAGUCGCCACACGGCACCAAUCUGGAAUAGGUCCGCACGGUGAGUGCUUUGGGGACCGUCCGCACCUAAUUUUUUUCCAGUGGGGGAGCUGGCCAAUUUGCACGCCUAGGGCCAGUGGGCCACUAUGCGAUUCCUUCCUGGAUGUGCCAGUGGGCCUUAAGCCGCAACCAGGCCGGCAGGCAGCUGCUGAGCUUCAAACGCAGGCCUUCGCUGAUGUGUUGAUGGGCCAAGACUAGGCCAUUUCAUGGGAAUAACAACCUGGGCCAUGGGAAAAUUAAGAGGCUAUAAAGGAAGUUUUGGGCCACGCCUAGGGCUAUGGCCCUAGGCCCAAAUCCGCCCCUGGAUUGGGAGGAUGACAUCUGAUAGGACCAUCUAAACUCUGUAAGCAUUGACGGGUCCGCUAUGUAUAACUGUAUAUUUUUGUAGGAUUGCUAGAUUACUGCAGUUCUUCAUUUCUUACCAAAUUUCUUGAGAGAAUGUGUUGUAAGUCUUUCCAGCAGCUAAUUUAAGACAUGUGUUGCUUUGGUACUUUCAUUUCAUUUAAUCUGGAGCAAAUUGGCAAGAGUGUUUGCUGCAAACAGAGUGUUGGAGCCUUUAGUGUUCAUAGUUUGUUACUUUGUAUUGCAUGUAGCAAAAGCCACACCAUAUAAGAGAAAGUAUCUGCUUAAAGGGCACUAUGCUAACCAUUCUCCUGUAUGUUGUCUGCCUGUUCAUCAUUGUGGCCAUAGUACGCGCUUUUUAUGUGUUUAUGUCCUCUUUUGUGCCCAAAGUAAUUUGCUCUGCAUUGAGCUCCUGUCCCUAGAAUACCUACCUGUUUCCCUCCUUUUCAGGUGUUCCACCAUGUAGCCCUUACCCCCCUUAGGCAUCUCUCUUCUUUUCUGUUUUGGUAAUUUCAUUUCAACCUAAUUGAAUUUUACUUUUGAUCUCCCAGAGGGAUGAUGGUUUUAUACAAGCACAUCAAGAUAAGCAGGGUUUUAGGAUAAUUUCACACAUCAAGGGGGUUCAGAUUUCAGAUAUAUUGAUGAGUUUGUUUGAGCAGAGGGAGCCAAGCAUGACUCGUGAAAUUGACAUGAAGUAAAGAACAGUAGACAUGCAGAUUAUGUGGAACGUUUCAGCAACUAGAAGCUCUUGCUAAUGUCUACAUGGUAGCUGGUAACUGCUGAACCUGGUUCGCUGCUUCAAGUUUCAAUAUAAGCAUGAGACAAACCUUUAUUCUCUACAAAAUCUGCUGCUAAUGUUUUCUUCCUCAUCCAUGCUUCUUUCAGACGGGAGCAAACUUUAGGUUGCUUUGGUUUUCAUUUUAUCGCCUCCAGAUUCAGCCACGUGUCUUCUUUGAGCCCUCUUGCCAUGUUGAAAUGCCAGCCUGACACGUGGGCCUGUGCAGUCUUGAUGUUCCGAUCUUAGGCUGCCGUGCUCAUACCUCCUUGUUGUUUUUCCUAGCUUAGAACUGGUGUGAAUCCAUGCUUCAUAGGACUCGUACGAUGUAUCUGUUAUAACUUCAUUCAUUUUCAGUUUCGGGCUGAAACUUGUUUCACUGGUUCAGUCCAUUUGGCGCGCAUGUCAAACAACCAGGGAUGGGAUGUGUACAAGGGGCUUUAUGUGUGCAAAGAUGAUCCUUUUGUGCUGGCAUUGAUGUUUUUUAGCAAAAAAAUCUGAGUUACCCCUAGGGAAGCCUUGAAUGCUUGUGUUUUAUUUUGGUGAUUCAACAAAGGAGUGAGGUGUACAGUGUUCAGCCCUGAUGCCUUUUUUUUCUAUUUCUCUACUGCAUUUUCUUAUUCAGGACAAGGGCCCUCACUUUUUACGUGUGUGUGUUCUCUAAUCCACUAGGAGGAACAUUAUGUGUUCUUGUUGCUUUUUUAAGAACCUGUAAAAUGUCCCUGGUCCAUUUGGUGUGAUGUAUUUGUAAAGUGUUUACUUCAUUUUUUUUUUGUAAAGUGUCUUUGUAUCUUGAGAUACAAAGUUUAAUUAGUAAUUAAGGCAAAUGAUUGUUUAGCUAUACUCUUCCGUGUUUGGCAGGGAAAUGUAUUAUCAGCUGAGUGCGGAAUGUACAUUGAACCAACAAUUUACUGUCUUAAUAAAAUGGUCCUUUCAAUUCGUUCACUUGAAACUGCAAUUGUUGUGUUUAUGUGCCCUUUUUUGAGAUCUCUAGACUCUUGUUCACUGACUCCAAUUGUAGUGUAGAGUACUUAGAAAGUAUGCUAGACAAUCUGGGUAAUUAAUGAUGUUUUAUGAAGAAGCGGUGAUAGGUAGUACUCCUCCGUUUCAAAUUGUAGAUCGUUUUAGUUUUUCUAGACCUACACUAUAUCUAAGUGUAUAGCUACGUUCAUAGGUAUAAUUUAGAACAGAGUGAAUUUAGAACAGAGUGAGUAGUUAUCUUAUUAUCCCACGGAAAACAAGUGGGCGUCGGAGCGGCGCGUCGAGGCGCAGGAGCGGCCGCAGGAGGACUCGCGCGUGUUCACCGGCACCCAGGGCGGCUGGACGACGGAGCCCGCCAUACCCACGGGGCAGUCGUCGAUGGAGGCCCGUGCGGCGCCCGACGACGGUGACGGCGUGAGCAACGACGCUUUCUGGGAGCAGUUCUUCCUCGACGACUCCUCGCACGCGCCGGCCGAUCCCACGGCCGGCUACGCGGCGUCGUUGGACGGCGGCGUAGAGGCCCGCCGGUUCGACGACGGCUCCGCGAGAGAGGCGCCGCCGGCGGCGGUGUCAUCGGGCGACGAUCAACUGCUCAAGCUCACGUUACUCAGGACCGCCUCACCGAGCACACGGCGAGAUGACGUGCGCGAACGUGAUCGACGACACUAAGACAAAUUUCUUGAUGGAUCUUGCUUGCGCAUGUUACUGUUCGUCGUCAAUUCGGCCUAGUUUCCCAUUCUUCUGGGACUAAUGUUUCUUCUCCAGUGAAUAGUUGAGCCGUUGUCCGUUGAGGUAGUAGGAUCUUCCUAACGUGUUGCAUAAAAUAAAUUUCUUCUGCUGAUCGUUUUACAUGCUUGCCACUGCAAACAAAUCGUGAUGGAAGUAACUUAGCAAAGAGAACAUAUAGCAUGAACCUUAGACUGCAUAUGGACAAGAGCAGGACGAUGGUAAGAACAGAAUUAGGUGAACGGUCACUUUGGCAUUUGAUACGAUGUCAAUACCUAUCAAGAACAGAGGACAUCACUAGGCAAACAGCUAGUCACUUCCACUUGUCCAUCAAGAACAGAAAAUACUAGAACCUAUCGCCAAUGCAACAACAGAGUUUUUCAUUCCAUCCACAUCGACAACAGAUCCUUGGCAAACAAACAACUUAACGAGGCAAAUAUGUACAAGAACGACUGUGCAUCUACAAGUUAGUACAGAGUUACAGUGUUUGAACAAAAAAGUUAACGUAAUAUCAUCAAUGUCACAGCAGCUGUCUUGCAAACAAAGAACGGAAAGAAAAUACAAAUCUACGUGCAAACAAAGAGAAGGAUUCUUAUGCCAUCUAAAAGUUUGUCUUUGAGUAGCUGUGAAGAAGAGAAUCACGCACGCGGCAGACUCGAAAUCUUAAUCUACAAUCUGAGCUCGAGAUCGAGCGGUGGCGCCACAGCGCCGGCGUGGCCUCCUCCCCCAGCGAUAUCUUGGAUGAAGCCGUCGUCCAAGAAGUCAUCUUCGUCCUCGGCCCACGCGUCUUCGCCGUCAUCCUCCAUGGCCGCGGUGUCUCCUUCCUCAACGUCAAGAAAGAUGUUGAUGAACUCGUCAAACAGCUCCCGGUCUUCCUCGGCCCACGCCUGCACGCCCUCCAUGGGCACUGCGCUCUUGGUGGAGUCGAAGGGCGGGUAGUAGUCAAACUCGUCGGGCCGCUCCAUGAGGCGCGACCAGAAGAGGUCCAGCUCCGCGAUCUCUGCUGCUUCGUCUUCUUCUUCUUGAUGAUGUUGCUGCUGCUGAUCCUCCAUCGGUGACGACUCUGCGGGCUCGAUCAAGUCCUGGAUCAGCUCUAGGAACUCCUCCGCGGUGUCGGAGGCCAAGGCGGCGGCGCGCAUGCGCAUGGCCUUGGUUUGAGUAGAGAAGCCGCCCACGAGAAGUUCUUCCGCCAUGGCUUCGCUAGCUCGAUCUGUUAGGGCGCACGCGGCCUUGGUUAGUUGCGAUCGAUCAGAUCGGAUGGAUUGCUACGUACGCGGCCUCCUAAAUUUAUAGGUUAUAGCUACGGUGCCCCCGUUCCCAUCGGAAAUUCGGAAUUGGCAACCUGGACCGACUCGCCCCCGCCAACUCAACCGAGUCGGAUCGGAGUAGUCCGAUUCCGACUCUGUCCGCAGUGCAAGCCCUUGAUUGGGGCACGACAGAGGGGCCGUCGAUGGAGCCUUGGAGGUCCGCAUCGCAUCAAUUUGCCGUGCUCGCCUGGGAAAUUGUGUUUCCAGCCGAGCUCUCCCAGAUGACAUGCCACGUGGGAUUCUCCAUGGCAUCAGUACCCGAACGGAAGAGGAGGCUGCUGGGCUGAGAUUGUCCGGAAAGCCAGGCGACAGCACGCAGAACAGGAGGUGGGCGGUCUGCUGAUCGUCCAUGCUCGCCACCGAAAGCUCGACACUGCAAACAAAACGUGAUAGAAGUAAUAAUUUAGUAAAGAGAACAUAGCUUGAACCUUAUCCACCAUAUGGACAAGAACAGGGCGAUGAUAUGAUCCACCUCUGUAGGCGACCAACCAGUCACUUUGGCAGUUGAUACGAUCUGCCUAUCCAGAACAGAGGACAUAAAUAGGCAAACAGCUAGUCACUUCCAUUUAUCCAUCAAGAUUCAAGAACAGAAAAUAGAAUCUAGGCAAUUGGCAAAGAAAAGGUCACCAAAGCAACAACUGAAUUGUCCAAAUGUCCAUUCCAUCUACUAAUCGAACCGGACGAGAGGUGGAGGGGAGAGGAGGCGGGGGACUGAGCCACCGAGGACUAGGCGGCCAGCGAGCAGAGGCGGUUAGCAUCAAAUUCUCCAUCCAAUUCAUCAGAUUGGGAGCCAUUUUGUCCGGAAUCAGCUGGAGCAGAGAGGUACGUUCAAGGGCGAGGCGUCGAUCUAUAAUUCCUAACGAAUUUAAGGGUAUGCCGUGUGAUUAUCUGCGUAGUUUGUUUCCGUCUUGCUAGCGUUGCAUCA
rnacentral:lncRNA from 1 species